GGAGUAGUUCUAGCAGUAAAAUAUGCCGACGCCGCGAUAUAGUUUUUUGUGGCUGUGUUGCGGAAGAGAAAUCAAGUAAGGCUUUGGGGAGAGUACGCGCGCAAGCGAUAAAUUUAAAGGAAAUUGACGGAGGAACACCACAAGGAGUGGAGUGUGCGGCUUAAUUUGACUCAACGCGGGACAGCUUACCAGGCCCGAUAAUCGAGCGAGCGUUGUACGCGAUAGAUUAAAGAGUGGUGCAUGGCUGCUAUCGACAGUUGGGGUGACCUUAGGGUUAAUUCCGGCAAGUAGUGAGACCCCUGCAGAUAGUGGACAGGUAUUUUUAAAAUACAGGAAGGAAGGGACAAGAGCAGGUCAGUGAUGCCCUUAGAUGGCCUGGGCUGCACGCGCACUACAGUGGUCAUUAUAAGUAGAAUUUAGAAGUAAAGAUGAUCGAGAGGGACUGAGCUUUGUAAGAGGCUCACGAACGAGGAAUUGCUAGUAAUCGUAGGCUCAUUAAGAUACGAUGAAUAUGUCCCUGUACCUUGUACACACCGCCCGUCGUUAUCGAAGAUGGAAUUGUGUGCGAACGAGCAACAAGCGA
rnacentral:rRNA from 1 species